UCUUCUGUCUUCCGCGCGCCCGCCUCCGCCUCCGCCUAGCUGAGUCAGCCAGUGCGGUGGCGCCAGGCACACGCGGUAGAACAGCCGUAGGGUUGCUAAGCUGCACCUCCGCGUCAGUUCUCAAGGCGAGCGCCGCCUUUAGCCCAAGUUCUCAAAGCUCUCGGGGCUACGUAGUCUACCCUCCCCGGUGACCCGGCGAGAUCCCUAGCCGCUCCUCCGGCCGCUCUGCUCUCCGCAUCCCUCGCGGGAAUGACCCCCUUUACCCGGGACUCCCAGAGCGCACUGUAUGAUGCCGGAAGGUCCUUCUGAAUCCCUUCCCUGUUCCUUAGCUUGCACUAGUCAGGGGUUCCGUGCUGGGGGGCAGAAGAAAUGCUCGCUACCCUCUGAAACCGUUCAUCAGGAAGGCCUUGAUUUGUGAUGUGCUAGGAGAGCACAGGAUCUGCAAAUAGAAGGCACCUGUCUCCCUUCUGCAGGCCGAGGAGAGGCCGCCAUGGACUGUGUGCUUCUUCGUGGCUUGUCUACUCUUCUUUCACAGACCCUACAGCCUGGGGCCUGGGCUCCUCUGACCAUC
rnacentral:sRNA from 1 species